rnacentral:lncRNA from 1 species
UGCAUUUCCUGAAUUUAACUCUGUCUUUGUAUUACUCAGCCCACAGGAUCAGGGGUGUGUUUUCUUCCCAGUGACGCGUCUGUGGUUCCUCCUCUUAGCUCCCACACAGACAUCCUUCAAGAAGGGGAAGAGAGCUUUCAGACCAAGCACAAGGAGGUUUCUGACAAUUCAGCAGGCUGUGGUAGAGUUCCUGGAAUGGAGCAGAAAACCCAAAAUAGAUAUCCGGGAAAAAAGAGGAAAUGGUGACAAAGAACUUCCUUUAAAAUGACAAGACCCUCCUUUUAUUGCCACAGUUGAGUCACGUGAAUUUUUGGUCCCUUCCAUGGAGAAGGGUGUUCCCAUGGAUUGAUUCAUGUAUUUUGUUUCCUUCUUGAAGAGAGAGAAGAAAAAAGAAAAAAAAAAAGAUGAUCUAAGUAAUUCCAGCCAUCAAAGUAGUAAGAACUCAUCGAUCUCAAGUUCACACAGAAAUCUCAGUGAGAUAAUGCAGAGCUUAGAGAUUCUAUUCAUGCGGAAAUUCAUUCACUCAACAAAUGUUGAUUCUCUGCUCUAGACCAAAUGCUGGGAUACAGAAACGAAUACAAUAUUGUUCGUGCCACUAAGGACCUCUUUCUCUGUGGGAGAAGAUACAAAGUAAAGGAGGAACACGAUGAAAAAUGAACCUAAAGGACCGCUCUGUUUUUCUCUGUGGCCCUUCGCAGGGAUACUGCCCAUGGAAAUCCCACAAAGAGAAGAGUUUCACAGGGGGAAAAAUGUUUCUAAUGAAGCUUGAAAAUUAUUGAGAGGGUUGAAUGUCUCCCCAGUCACCCCUGGGGACACAUCUAGAGGCUUGAUCACAAUAAAUCUUCCAUGGGAGGAAACUUCCUUUAGGCUGAUUCAUUUAUUAAAGAGGGUAAUUUACUAUGGGACACUUGACCCAGCAGGAAAUGGGGGAGUAGAUGGCGUAAGAACAGCUGGAACACCUGGAGAAACUUUAUCCUUGAACGGAACUGUGGAUUCAACGUCUUCAUUUCAUUUGCUACCUGGUAUUGUUUGUUAUCUUUCUUUGCAUGUGUUAGUUCCUCCUAACCCCCACCCCCGGCAACUGUGUGCCAAGCUUCCAGAUGGAAGGAAUGAUAUUUUGCCUCAUUUUCUCCCUUGUGAUGUCUGGCCAGCGCUAGAAACAUUGCAUGUGUUUGGAAGCCAUUGUUAAUUGAUUGAUUCCUGCCAUUCCCAGUAGUCCUAUAACUUAUUGCUCUGCAAGCUGUAGUUAAAAAAACCCAUAAGACCCAAUAAGGGAAAUCAGUUAACAGUUGCUGCUUCCGUUAACUCUUAAAGAGUCCAAACCCAGUAAUGCUGUCAUUUUGGACUGCAAAUAGAAUUUUUAGGCAAAAAUUUAACAACAGC